GGUGAGAUGGCCGAGUUGGUAAGUCACCUUUGCAAACACAGAUCCGUCGCUGCGACGCAUCGUUAACAACCUCCCCAGGUUAUGGCGCCAGGUUAAGGAUUACCUUAGCAAUCAGAUUCCUGGUGGAGCAAUCCUCGUGGGUUCAAAUCCCACUCUCAUCA
rnacentral:tRNA from 1 species